GUACCUUUCUCGGCCUUCUGGCUAAGAUCAAGUGUAGUAUCUGUUCUUGUUUAGUUUAAUAUCUGAUAUGUGGGCCAUCGGCUCGCUCUUUACUAAAUUAAUUUUUUGAGGGGGAGGGCCCACUACAGUAGCAAGCUACUGGGGUUUCUCAUGCAUUGCCUUGGGUGUUGCACUAUUGCCUUGGCCUAGCGCACCCCAC